rnacentral:rRNA from 1 species
CACGUAGGCACCAAGCGUUGUCCGGAUUCAUUGGGCGUAAAGGGUGCGUAGGUGGCGUCGUAAGUCAGGUGUGAAAUCUCGGGGCUCAACCCCGAAACUGCACUUGAUACUGCGAUGCUUGAGUACUGGAGAGGAGAUUGGAAUUUACGGUGUAGCAGUGAAAUGCGUAGAUAUCGUAAGGAAGACCAGUGGCGAAGGCGAAUCUCUGGACAGUUACUGACACUGAGGCACGAAGGCCAGGGGAGCAAACGGG